CGUCUGCUCGACUGUCAAACACAUUUUCGUCGAGAAACAUGGCCGCAUCUUUAAAAACUUUGAGCGGCCUUGCUCAAAACAAAAGUUUGUUGAAUUUUGGUGCUAGGCAUGCCAACUUAUUCGGCUAUGGAAUUAUACGAAGCAACCACAUCAUCCAAAAGGAAAAUCCAGAGGAAAAAAUUGUCAUGGCUGAUAAUGGAGACACAAUUGUGUGCUGGCAUCCCCAACAAAAAUUCCCUUAUGAAUGUAGUCUUCCCAUGCCAACAAAGACAAUCGAUGUAAACCAAGUUCUCAGGUCAGAACAAGAAGACAUAGCAGAAAUAUUUCAUUUCGAGAAGCCACAGCAGCAAAGGGAAUAUUUAAUGAAGAUGACCGCCACAACCAAACAUCGUUGGUUCCCCAGGCUAGGAAAGAAAUUUGGAAAGAAAAAUAAGCCAGAUCGCGAAUUUUUGUAAUGCAUCGUGAAAAAUGCGUGUAGUUAAGUAAAAAAAAAUAAAAAAGACAAAACAAUGA